UUAGUGGCGAACGGGUGAGUAACACGUGAGUAACCUGCCCUUGACUCUGGGAUAAGCCUGGGAAACCGGGUCUAAUACUGGAUAUGACUGCCGGCCGCAUGGUCUGGUGGUGGAAAGCUUUAUUGCGGUUUUGGAUGGACUCGCGGCCUAUCAGCUUGUUGGCGGGGUAAUGGCCCACCAAGGCGACGACGGGUAGCCGGCCUGAGAGGGUGACCGGCCACACUGGGACUGAGACACGGCCCAGACUCCUACGGGAGGCAGCAGUGGGGAAUAUUGCACAAUGGGCGCAAGCCUGAUGCAGCGACGCCGCGUGAGGGAUGAAGGCCUUCGGGUUGUAAACCUCUUUCAGUAGGGAAGAAGCGAAAGUGACGGUACCUGCAGAAGAAGCGCCGGCUAACUACGUGCCAGCAGCCGCGGUAAUACGUAGGGCGCAAGCGUUAUCCGGAAUUAUUGGGCGUAAAGAGCUCGUAGGCGGUUUGUCGCGUCUGCCGUGAAAGUCCGGGGCUUAACUCCGGAUCUGCGGUGGGUACGGGCAGACUAGAGUGCAGUAGGGGAGACUGGAAUUCCUGGUGUAGCGGUGAAAUGCGCAGAUAUCAGGAGGAACACCGAUGGCGAAGGCAGGUCUCUGGGCUGUAACUGAC
rnacentral:rRNA from 1 species